CUCUUUGUUUGAUUUCAACUUUUAUCUGAUCAUCUGGCUGUGUAGUUGGGACUGGGAAGUGCCCUUCAAACUUUGUGUGGACAAGCUUUUGGAGCUCAACGAUAUAGCAUGCUAGGAAUAUACCUCCAACGCUCAUGGAUCGUUGUUACCAGUUUUGUAGUGAUAUUUCUGCCUGUAUAUAUAUUUGCUUCCCCUAUUCUCAAGUUGUUGGGGCAAGGAGAUGAUAUAGCUGAACUAACAGGCAAAGUGGCCAUCUGGUGCAUUCCCAUGCAUUUCUCUCUGGUUCUUUGGUGGACAACUACCUGGUAUCUCCAGGCCCAAUUAAAAAACAUGGUCAUUGCCUACAUAGCAAGCGUGGCUCUAAUACUCCAAUGUUUUGAUGAGUUGGGUAUUUACUGUGAAGAUGGGUUGGGGCCUUGUAGGUGCAGUUGCAUCAAUGAACUUAGCAUGGUGUUUCCCCUUAGUUACCCUAUUUCUUUAUAUUAUCUGUGGUGGGUGUCCCCUUACAUGGAAAGGAUUUUCUUUGGAUGCAUUCUCUCAACUUUGGCCCUAUCUAAAAUUGCCAGUGAGUUCAGGAGUCAUGAUAUGCUAAACUUCCACAUUUCUGAUUAUGGUAAGAUGGUUUUGGGCCCUUUUACUUCCUAAUGCUACCCAAUUUUAACUAAUGCCUUGUCUUUCUUGAACAGGGUUGAGAUAUGGUAUCUAAGAUUGAUAUUACUACUCACAUUCAAGCUCAAAAACCUCGAAGUAGCAGAUGACUCACUUUCUAUUUGUAUGACUAUAAAUGGAUAGGAGUUUAUGAUACCCAUAGCCUUUCUUGUUGGCACCAGUGUGAGGGUGUCAAAUGAACUCGGAGCUGGAAACGGCAAGGCAACCAAAUUUUCUGCAGUUGUCUCAGCAACAACUUCUCUUUUGAUAGGGAUUCUAAUUUUAAUCCUCCUCGUUAUCUUCCACGAUAGUUUUGCUUCUCUAUUCACACAAAGCGCCACCAUCCAGCAAGUUGUUUCAAAACUGACACUCUUAUUAGCAUUCACCAUUCUUCUCAACAAUGUGCAACCAGUUCUC